rnacentral:antisense_RNA from 1 species
UUCAGCCUUUGGCCUCAAACCUCAGUGGCAGUCUUUCCCCUGAUAAGGAAUAGGAAGGCAUGCAGCGAUAUAUAUGUUAGUUUUGCCUACGGGAAUCCGGCAGCAAUGUUAUUUAUUUUUGUUGUUUCUUAUGAUUUAAUUAUUAUAUACAGGUUCGUAAAUAUUGGCAUGAUAAUGAGGAGAAGGUGGAACCAGCACACUACGUCGAUGGAGGCCCUUAGAAUAUAGUGCAACACUUAAAAAUGUAAUCUAGUACUUUUUCUUCAUUUUAUUAGCACUGGGUUCUCGCAGUUUACUCGGUAGGAGGUGCAGUAGGACUUUGCAGUUGUUGAUUGUCUUCUUCAAGUGCCUUUUGUUGGGUCACUUGUUGUUCGUACUUCUUACCGUUCAUGUAUAAAGUGUAAGCUAAGCCACCCGACAUGUAUAACGUACCACCAACCAACGUCAGUACCGUUAGACGAUGUAAUGUAUCUGUAACUCUGGUAUACCAAGCGUAUUUGGACAUGAC